rnacentral:lncRNA from 1 species
ACACUAUUAGGAGGAGGAAACAUAUUUUUUAUAACAGGAUAGGUAAAUCUAGAAAAGUAGAUCAGACUAAAAUGGAACUGAGUACAGUUCCUUUAUUACAUCAUUUUAAGUAGGCAAGAUUGAUACCCUCCACCUCUUAAACACUCCCACACUGAAUUGACAUACCUGUGCAGUGGCAAAAAAAAAAAAAAUUGAUUUAAUGUCUUGGAAUUUUAGAGCAAAUUAGCCAAGUCACCAUUGUUACCUGUGCUUAAAACAUAUUCUCUUGGACAGACACGUGCAACCAUCAUAAUACUUAUAUAAGAAUCAAAUCUUGUUUUUCUCUUAUAUACUUUGUGCUAGAUACUAAUUCUCACCUAACAUGGACAACAUGGGGAAUUUUCAGAGAGACACCUUGCAGUCAGUGAUACUCACAGAGUGGCACUCUUUGAAACUGACACAUACUUCAUCUGCUUGUGAAAUGUUGCAACCAAGGAUACCUCCUGUAAAAUUUUAUUUGUAGCCCCACUGGAUCCUUUAAUAAAGGAUGCUUCUGAAUCUUAUUGCUUGUUUCAUUUUCUUCAGAUCAGAAACUAAAGCACUUCCAAUGGAAACAAAAUCCCGCUGGUCUGUGCAAAUCCUACCUGGCUGUC